rnacentral:lncRNA from 12 species
GCCAGCUCCCCUUCGGAGCCAUCCAGGCAUUGUUCCGUGGUGAAUAACUAUUCCUGCUGCUCCCAAGCCCUUCUCAGCUCUCUCCUAUUCAAACCCACAUCCCCAGGGGCCUUCUGAGGUCUCAGCUCACUGGUGCCGUGCUCAUCUCCUCAGCUCCUGUCCUGAGUUUGGGAUAGAUCCUUUGCAAACUCACCAGCCACUGGCUACAGCAGCCUCACAAAUCCUGCCCUGACUGCCCCACUGCUCCCCUCUGCCAAAGCCAAGGGAGGUGCUGAGCCUGGAGAGAGUUUUCAGACAUGGGACACGGUCACUCAAAACCUGCCUGGCCAGAGGACUCUGCAGCAGAAAUAAAAGGUGCCUGUGCUGGAGCUGCAGCUGGGAGGGGGCCCAGGACACGUGUCCGUGUGCUGGUGGAUCCGGCUGUGCCUGGGGCUGCUGAGAGCACACAGUGUUCAGCACUGCUGCUCCCAAGGGCUCCAGGGGCUGGAACAUCUCAAGAGGAGCUCUGCAGCCUCACCCUCAGGGUUUUCCUGGCAUCUGACCAAGUGCCACAAGUACAAGCUAUUCCCAACACAACAAGCACACGCUCGGUACCGCUGCCUUCCCUCUGCCCUCCCACUCCUGCCGUGCUCUGCUCUGCUUCCCCAGACACAAUUCCUCCAUAGCUGCCUCUGCUAAAGCAACGAUGGACCCAGCCCUGAGCUCCUGAGAAAGCACAACAGAGCCUCCCCCAGGAAAAGAAAAAAAAAUGUCAUCAGAGCAACUGCUCCAGGAAAACACUCGGAUGCUGUAGAGAAGAGGAUGAGGAAGGAAAAAAACCCCAACCUUGAAUGGCUUUUCAUCAAGUCUCCUUCUCCUCACCAGCCUCUCCUCACGCCUGCCCGUUCCAUGAUUUCAUCCGAGGUGGGUGGUGAGCUCCUCUCCCCCGCGCAGCCUCUUCCCAGCGGCUCCCGGGCUCCCUGCCAGCUCCUCUCCACCCACGGCCUCUCCCGACCAGCCCAACCAGCAUCUCACAUCUGGCGGGCUGGCUCGGCCGGGGGAGCCAAGGAGCACCUCGGCCAUCCCCCUGCACCACAGCCUUGCAGGGGCUGGCAUCUCCAGCCCUGCACCCCACGGGAUCCCCAUUUUCCCACCCAGGACAGGGCGACGGGUGCCUGGAGCGACUCGCCAACGCUCCGGAGCUGCAAAGCCAGAGCUGGGUUUAGAGAACGGCUUUGCGGGUUGAAAGCCAAAUGAAAACUGCCUUUUUUUUUAACCACCUUUUUCUGAGCUGCUCCUACACGUAAAAACCUCUGUGUGGAUUUAAGUAUUCCCAGCCUGGCUAAUGCAGGAGCACCAGGCAGUGAAGCCAACUGGUCCCACGGCUUCAGAGAUUGUGGAGGUGAAGAUGGCAAAGCAAAUUUGAAUCAGAUUUUGAAUCUGUUAAACCUAAGUGUUAAAAUGGAAAACAGAGCACAGGACAGCUUCUCAAACCUCUCGGGUUAUUCCCUCUGCUCUUCUGCCACGAUUUUUAAAAAUUAAUCUUUUCACUAUUCCUCCCGAUGCCAUGUCUGUGAGUCCAUAAAACCAUUUGCUCCUUGUCAGAGAAUUCCGACGCCGGUGAUUUAUAGGCUUUGCUUGGAACGCAGCUCACAAGUACUUCACUUUUUCAUUCGCCCUUUCUAAACGUUUUUAACGAUCUGCUUCCUCAGAUCUGUUUACAUUUGGGACAUUAAAAGCUAAGCAACAACUCCAUUAUGAGAAAGAACACCAUAAAAAUUCCAGCAUUGCCAGGAAACGUCUCAAUACAGUGACAAACGUAGCCACUCUCUCGUCCUGCUGCUCAUCCGUGGGAAGGCUGGUUUAUAAAUUAUUCAUGAGUGCCUUAAAAUUUCCAGGCUAAUCCCAACUAAAAAGUGGGGGUUUUUACACCAUUGUUUCGCUCCAAAGUUCUCCAACUGGAAUUUUGAUUUGCAUAGCGAAAUCUUGAAAAUUUACUUGCACUGAAUUUCUCUUUCCUUCAAGUUGUGAUUUCAGUUCUCACGCUGGAAACAUAGCGGAGAGUCUUUGUGUGACAACUUCUUUGGAAGCCUGGAAAUCCGUGAUAAUUCCCGUGAAUUUCCUGAGAAAUUCAGGUUUUCCCGGAGGUGAUAUUUGAGCAGAUUCGGAUUUAUAAGGAUUUUGGCACCUUUCAGCAGGCAAUCCCAUCAGCCCAUGGCAUUUUCAGUAAUGAUGAACUAUAUGGGGGACUAUCAAGCCAUUCUUUUCCCAGUCUGUUUCAGUAAGGAGAGGCAAGCCUGAAGAUUAAAUAAUGUCAAAAUAUUUUGUGAAAAUCACUUUGUGGUCCUCUGGAGGCUCCUGACAGACCAGCUCACUCACCUGUGCUCGUGGAUUUUACAGCUGUCAGUCUGCUUGGGAUUUAAUCCGCACGGUGGCAUUGCAUUAUCUUCCAUGCAAAAUCAUCAAUUACAAAUAAAUCCCACUGGGUUUUUAUGCAGUAAUAACAGAAAAAAGGGCAGUCAUGGUAUUUGAAGCAAUAAAGUUAAAAGAGUUGCCUUACAUCCCUCUUGAUGUCCAUGCUCUGCCAUGCAUUUUUUGGCAAACUGUUUCCACACAGCUCCUCCAUACAGUGCUUUGAUGCCCCUUCCCAGCCACUUGAUCCCAGGNNNNNNNNNNNNNNNNNNNNNNNNNNNNNNNNNNNNNNNNNNNNNNNNNNNNNNNNNNGUGCUGUCCAAAUGAGGGUCAGUGUCCAGCUUUCCAGGCUGGAAUCCAGCCAGAGACACUGAUUGCUUUGCUAAAGUAGAGAUCACAAAAAUCUUUGCAGCAAUAGGUGAGUAAUUCUUCCCUGUGAAAACGGUGAGGCCCUGGCACAGGUUGCCCAGAGAUCCCUGGAAGUGUCCAAGGCCAGGCUGGACAGGGCUUGGAGCAACCUGGGUUAGUGGAAGGUGUCCCUGCCCAUGCAGGGGGAUGGAACUGGAUGGUAUUUAAGGUCCCUUCCAACCCAAACCAAUCUGUGACUGAAUUUCCCUUGCACCAAAAUACUGAACUCAAAUCUUCUCGAUCUCAAGGCUCACCUCUCCUUUUUUUUUUGCCAAGGGGGCAUUAAAAACUUCUUUGACAUGGAUAAAAUGGUUUUAUUGACUUGCCCCUAGGGCUGAAGACAGAUCAUCUGUUUCCAUGGCACGUUCUCCAGAGAGGAAUCCUCUGGGGGAGACAGACAUGAUGCUGAGAAGGCAGCACAGACAAAAUCUGCAUAUAAAUACCCAACAAUCCAGGCAGCAGAGCAGGAAGCCACACAUUUCUCCAUGGACUGCUCCUGGAAAGUUGCUAAAUACCCAACAAUCCAGGCAGCAGAGCAGGCAGCCACACGUUUCUCCAUGGACUGCUCCUGGAAAGUUGUUGGAAAUCCAGUAGAGUGAGAAAAAACAUCAGGAAGAACAUUUUUUGCCUCCUGUUUCAAGGAACUGAGUGGGAGUAUCUUCUGACCCAGGGUCUGUAACCACUCCACUGACCAGCACCCACUGAACACCCUCUUGUCUGCUCAACAGCACAGGUGGGAGCAUGCAGCUGGUCCAGCUUUUCUGCUUGAAGCCCCAAAGUUCUGGAUGCUUCCAGAGGAGAUGCACCUGCAGCACCUGGAGGAGAGAACCCAGCAGUUUGAUGGACCGUUGCCAGAAACCAGGAGAGCAGAGCUGUCUCAGUGAUUCCUGAAAAGUUACCACCUCUCCUUGCAGGCAGCUCAACCCAGUUGCUUCACUGGAGUUUGCUUCACUGCCCUCACUGGAUCUGAUUCACCAGAUAGUCAGAAAUUCUAACACAAUUUUCAUUAGCAUUACCCAAACAAGGAAGAAUUUGCUCUGCUGGCACCUUUACACUGCUGUGAGCUCUAACAGCCUGUUUUACUGCACAGCAAAGCCCUGCCAACACAAGCCUCUGCUGUUUCAUACUUAGCAAAGGUCCCAGCAGGACUCAACCAGCCCACAGUAAAAGCCACAAUACCCGAAUUUAUCCUCCUCAUACCUCUGCUGCCCAUUCUGGCACUGGAAAUGUGUGCUAAGGACACAGCAGAUCCCACACAAACAGGUUAUUUUUGGUUAAGAAGUCUCAAACUGGCUUGAAAAAAAUCAGGGAGCAUCUUGUAGAAUAUUACAAUUUUGUCUCAUUUACUCUUCUACUCUUUCAUAAGCCUCUUAUGCCUGAAUGUUUCAUCAAUUAAUGCUGAAUAUUAUAUAAAUUAUAAUGAAAAUUAUAGUUCUGACCUCAAUUUAUUUGCUGUGAAAACAAAUCAGUUUUUCACUAUCACCCCAAGCCCCGACCCAACAUGAUCAAGUUAUUUUCCCCCCAGAUUCCCAAUAUAAAUGGAUUUCAAAGAACAUCCUUAUGUAGAAGCCUGACAUUUUGAGACUGUGAUGCAAGAUCACAAAAAUUUCAGACAAAUUAAUUGCAGCAAUUGAAAUUUAGGCUUGAUGUAGCAGAAUGAAGUGGUUUCAGGACUCAUUAAGAAAAAAUGUGUACACUGUCAGACAUUUCCAAAAUAUUUUUGCAUUAAAAAUUUCCCAAGAGACAUCAUCUUUAUCUCCCUCUCAUCCUACCAUCCAGCACAUUUUGUAUUAAUCCAGAAGUGAGAGGGUUUUUCUGAGAGAAGCAGUUGCCUUCCAGUGCUGCUUUUGGCUUGGUCCAAGUGUUGAUUUCAUUUUAACAUCAUUCCAGGACACCGGCAACGGGACAAACAUUUCUGGCCGUGGAAACAAUUCCCCUGCAGGCUGCAUUUUGUGAUUGCUGCAGGGUCUGUCCACAGGAGGGUGGAGCAGACUUGCAAACAAAUGGUUUAAGUUAUUCAUUGUGGUACCUGCCUGGUGUUUUGAGACUGGUGCAGGUUUUGUGGGCCCCAUGUAGCACCCAAAUCUGCGUGACAAGGGAAGACUUGCCUUCCAGUAGCUUCACUUUUGUAAAAGGCCAGGAGUUGAGAGCAAACAGGACAAAUUAAAAAAAAACAAAACCCUUGUAACGUACGCUUCCCUCUUCCUCAGGUGUAUUUUACGCUGAAUGGUUCUGUUUUCAUCAGGAAUUCUUCUUCCUUUUUCCAUCCUUUCUUUCCCUGCUGCUGUAAAGAAGAUCCACCAUGAGCAGGACACAGUCCUGUGUGUGAGCACACAGGCACACCAGCAGCAGUGCUCACAUCUCAGAACACUUUCACGAGAUCCAAGCACUUGGCAGCUCCAUUUUUCUGACUAUAUGCUGCCAAGAACCUCUUGCCUUUCAACAGAAAGAAUUAAAACGUUAUUAACCUUCUACACCUGUUUCUGCACCACUUUGGUUUGAACCUUAAGACUAGUUUUUGUGUUAACAAGUUUCCUUGAAGCCCAGACAUUUCAAUCCUACAUGCUGAACACAAUCAGCAGAAUUCCAACAGAUCCAUUUGCUCCUUCAGGGACUUCCCACAAGAAAUCAUUUAAGCAACUGUCUGCAUGGGAGCUACUUAGGCAGUGGAUGUACUUAAAACAGUGAUUACUUGCAAGUCACGCUUCCACCACCACUUAAUUCUUAAUUCUGCACAGCUUUUAACCUCCACAAGAACAUCUGUCAAACCCCCUAAAACAUGUAGUGCUCUGCACUGUACUGCAAACCCCCCAUGCUGCAUGCUCAAUUUCCAUAUUCCAGUAAUUUUUUCCAUUAAUUUAAGGGCCUAACCUACAUUCUUUUGUACUAAAC